rnacentral:rRNA from 1 species
UACGUAGGAGGCGAGCGUUGUCCGGAGUUACUGGGCGUAAAGGGUGCGCAGGCGGCGGUUCGCGUGGCGAGAUGAAAUCUCCCUGGCUUACCUGGGAGGAUGGUCGCCAGACGGGAUCGCUUGAGGGUCGGAGAGGGGCGUGGAAUUCCGGGUGGAGCGGUGAAAUGCGUAGAGAUCCGGAGGAACACCGACGGCGUAGGCAGCGCCCUGGACGACACCUGACGCUGAGGCACGAAAGCUGGGGGAGCAAACAGG